GUCGGAGUGGCUCAGCUUGGUUAGAGCGCCUGACUCAUAAGCUCAGCUAAAGGGUUCGAAAUUAGUCUUGCGCUAAGAAAUCAGGAGGUCGCGGGCUCAAAUCCCGCCUCCGACA
rnacentral:tRNA from 1 species